rnacentral:rRNA from 1 species
GACGAACGCUGGCGGCGUGCUUAACACAUGCAAGUCGAACGGAAAGGCCCUGCUUGCUGGGUGCUCGGGUGGCGAACGGGUGAGUGACACGUGAGUGAUCUGCACCCUACUUUGGGAUAAGGGUUAACAACUGGGAAUAAUAGUUAAUAGGACAUAGCUGUAGGGGGUGGGAUGGAGAGAUUAGUUUCGGUAGGGGUUGAGCUCGGGGGCUAUCAGCUUGUUGGUGGGGUAAUGGCCUAGCAAGGCGUCGCCGGGUAGCCGGCCUGAGAGGGUGGACGGCCACAUGGGGACUGCGACACGGGGCAGAAGCCGAGGGGAGUCAGCAGUGGGGGAUAUUGCACAAUGGGCGCAAGGCGGAUGCAGCGACGGCGCGCGGGGGGUGACGGCCUUCGGGUUGGAAACACCUUUCAGCCAUGACGAAGCCCUUGUGGUGACGGUAGUGGGAGAAGAAGCACCGGCUAACUACGUG